GGAGCGUUAGCUCAGCUGGAAGAGCACCUGCAUUACAUGCAGGGGGUUGCAGGUUCGGGUCCUGUACGCUUUCCCA
rnacentral:tRNA from 1 species